GUGAGCUUAGCUCAGUUGGUAGGGACAUUGCAUAAUUUAUGCAGGGGCCGGGGUUCGAACCCCGGACACCUCACU
rnacentral:tRNA from 1 species